UACGUAGGGUGCGAGCGUUGUCCGGAAUUAUUGGGCGUAAAGGGCUCGUAGGCGGUUUGUCGCGUCGGGAGUGAAAACCAGGUGCUUAACACCUGGGCUUGCUUUCGAUACGGGCAGACUAGAGGUAUGCAGGGGAGAACGGAAUUCCUGGUGUAGCGGUGAAAUGCGCAGAUAUCAAGGAGGAACACCGGUGGCGAAGGCGGUCUCUGGGCAUUGACCUGACGCUGAGGAGCGAAAGUGUGGGAGGCGAACAGG
rnacentral:rRNA from 1 species